rnacentral:ncRNA from 1 species
CCUAACCCCUUUUUUUUCAUCGUGGGUCGGGUUGGGUUCCGGUUGAGUCCCUAGUCGGGUGGUUAAUUCUCCCGAACUGGGGGCUGGAGCGGCCGGUUCGCUCCCCAAUGGGUUCAAGCCACAGUGCCCUUCUCUCGCCCGACGUUGAGGGAGUAAAAGUUAAAAAAAUAGCCAAAUGCCUCGUUAUCUAAUUAGUGACGCGCAUGAAUGGAUUAACGAGAUUUCCACUGUCCUUAUCUACU